rnacentral:piRNA from 1 species
UGUUGCCCAACCCCCUCAUGCACGGAAU